rnacentral:piRNA from 1 species
UUACAGUGUGUUAGUUUAAUACAGGGU